rnacentral:rRNA from 1 species
CCUACGGGUGGCAGCAGUGGGGGAUAUUGGACAAUGGGGGGAACCCUGAUCCAGCGACGCCGCGUGAGUGAAGAAGUAUUUCGGUAUGUAAAGCUCUGUCAGCAGGGAAGAAAGAAAUGACGGUACCUGACCACGAAGCCCCGGCUAACUACGUGCCAGCAGCCGCGGUAAUACGUAGGGGGCAAGCGUUAUCCGGAAUUACUGGGUGUAAAGGGAGCGUAGACGGUUAAGUAAGUCUGGAGUGAAAGGCCGGGGCUCAACCCCGGGACUGCUCUGGAAACUAUUUAACUUGAGUGCAGGAGAGGUAAGCGGAAUUCCUAGUGUAGCGGUGAAAUGCGUAGAUAUUAGGAGGAACACCAGUGGCGAAGGCGGCUUACUGGACUGUAACUGACGUUGAGGCUCGAAAGCGUGGGGAGCAAACAGGAUUAGAUACCCGAGUAGUC